AAUGAACGCUGGCGGCGCGCCUAAUACAUGCAAGUCGAGCGAGAAGACGUAGCAAUACGUUUGUAAAGCGGCGAGCGGGUGAGGAAUACAUGGGUAACCUACCCUCGAGUGGGGAAUAACUAGCCGAAAGGUUAGCUAAUACCGCGUACGCUCCUUGGACUUCGGUUCAGGGAGGAAAGCGAUACCGUGGGUAUCGCGCUCUUGGUUGGGCUCAUGUCCUAUCAGCUUGUUGGGAGGUAACGGCUCACCAAGGCUUCGACGGGGUAGCUGGUCUGAGAGGACGAUCAGCCACACUGGCACUGCGACACGGGCCAGACUCCUACGGGAGGCAGCAGUAAGGAAUAUUGCGCAAUGGGUGAAAGCCUGACGC
rnacentral:rRNA from 1 species